UACGUAGGGUGCAAGCGUUGUCCGGAAUUAUUGGGCGUAAAGAGCUCGUAGGCGGUUCGUCGCGUCGGCUGUGAAAACCUGAGGCUCAACCUCAGGCCUGCAGUCGAUACGGGCGGACUUGAGUACUGCAGGGGAGACUGGAAUUCCUGGUGUAACGGUGAAAUGCGCAGAUAUCAGGAGGAACACCAAUAGCGAAGGCAGCUCGCUGGGACGGUACUGACGCUGAGACGCGAAAGCGUGGGGAGCGAACAGG
rnacentral:rRNA from 1 species